rnacentral:piRNA from 1 species
UGCUGGAAUUGGUACAGUCCAGAGGGAUC